UAUGCAUGCAUGUAGAUGGUUGAACCUGUGGGGAUCAUAAGUGGCCAAGAACUGAUGUUGAAAGGUACAAAUGCCAGAAAAUAUGUGCAGAGAGACAAUUUAUGCCAGUGACUCUAUGGGAUGAAGAUCUCAGCUCCAUUUGGGGCUGCCAUCUCACAAUGAUUCUGACUUCUGAAGCUUUCCCUUCACUAAAACAAGAUCUUUCAAUGAAAAGUCAAGGGUAAUACUUCCUGUACUGUUCCUUGAAGAGCCUGGGUGUCACCCCUAAAUUGUUCCCCAUACUUCAAGAAGAUGUUUUUUCCUUUGGCCAGCUUAUAGCUGAGUCAGGCUGAGAGGAAGAGUUCAUGGGAAAAUCUGGGGAUAAGAGACACAAGAUAUGGAAGUUGCAGCCUUCCCAUCAGGUAUCAUUUCCCCCUCAUCUGGCUCAACCAGCUUUCAAAGGGCCACUGAAUCAAAGGGUAACAGAACUGCUAGGCAUGAUUUUUAGAAGGGACCUCAGCAAUGACAUGCCAUGACCCAUCCAUGUAAGCAGUCUCCAGUACACCACACCUAACAAGGGAUCAUUUCCAGUGACAUCAGUCAAGUCUCUGCAUCAUCAGAUUCUCUAUUCUGCAGGGAGACAUAACUUCCAAAAAGAAGAAUUUUCUGAGCUUUCUGAAAUUUUUAUUUUUCCAUCAUGGAAAACUCUUCUUUCUAGGGGGUCUCUGUGACAAAGUCUCAUGUCAGACUUUCUAGGGACCUCUGAAUCCUCCUGGUUCCAGAGGGGAGCCAUGGCAGUGUGUCCUUAGAAGAAAAUAAAGGUCUGAUCUUCCAAGAACA
rnacentral:lncRNA from 1 species